GGUAACCAUGAGUGUCAACCAAAGUCUGCUAAAUAGUUAGAUACAGUUAUACUUGUACCAGAAUGUUAUUUUGUCUUACAGACAAUUUUACACCAUUUAAGUUGCACACAUGGAACUUGCUAUGGUGUCAAUUUCAAAGGACAAGGUACAGGCGUUUGGCUGAAGAUCUUGGAAGAGACUAUUGCGCACUUUGCGUGAAAGAGUCAGCUCUUGGAAAUGGGUGCGGGAGGGGCACACAUUGUCUCUUCUGAAAUGGUUAAAACAAUUCGCAUGCAGCGGCCAGUUUCAAAUGACGACUUCUGACUGAAGCAUAAAGUUGUGGGAGCUGCACAUAUAGGCCAACUGCACAUGAAACAAGUAAAUCCGACAAGUCAUGAAGUUAUGCAGAUAACACCGCAUCUGAGAACGAACGUGUUACCCAUCACCCCCGACUCAACCCAAUACAGCGUUGAAAAAGCACAGACUGUGAGGCAGUUUGGGCACUUCCCUUUGGACAACAGCCCUGAGACCAAUAUAAAUCUGACAAUAACUGACUAAUUAACACAAUAGACAACAAUACAGUUUCUUCCGGAGUUUUACUGACUUUGUGAGUACUAAAUCCAACCAACAUCUCAUCUGCAGUAGCAUAGAGCCAGCAAGCUCCCUUCCCUUCCCAGCUAUGGCUCCCCCUAGCCGUGCUUCCAUAUUUCCUUGUUUAUGCACAGCAUAAUGGCCUGACCCUCCCUUCUCUAUAACAUUAUACAGACACUACCUAGCACCUGAAAACCUAAAUUUCUCUAGAUAUAUUUUGAGAUUAGAGUCUCUAUAUACCUCAUAUUCAUCCAAUGGCACCCUAAACAUAGUGGAACAGAGCUUUUCUUACCUUUACAAAGUGCCUCUCUCUAUACCUCUCUCUCUCCAAAGUCCCAACCUCGAUAGCCUCCUUCUUCUUCCCAGAAAUCCCUGCAAAAGGGGCACUUCCAUGUAAGUUGAAUGUGUAGGGGUGCUCAUUUUGGACUCAACCAUUACUGUAAAAUACAGAAGGCCCCAGAUGCUCAGAAAGGGCCUAUUUGGGUACAUAGUCCCACAGGCGCCAACAUGUCCCUUUCAAAUGGUAUGACACUGGCCCUAUAGUAAAUAACCGUCCCCUAACUCCCUCUGUCCUCCCCCCCAAUGGCUUUCACAUCAUAUGGCCCAUCCACCAGUCAUACAGCCAAUGCAGAGAAGCAAUUGUAACUUGCUGCACAAAUGAGCUCUCAGAGAGAUUCCACUGGGUUUUUGUGGAUUCACCAAGCCUUAGGGCCUCUUAGAGCUGCCCAAAAUCAUUGCUAGGGGAUAUUUUGGACACACAAAGACCCCUUUUUAUUGAAACAGACCAUUUGAAUGCAGAGGAAAAUAUUAUGGUGUGAAUAUGAUGCAAUCAAGCAAAAAGAGAACACUGUCUCCAAGUGUCCCUCUCCAAAAGUGCAGAGAUGUAUCCACUGGGACAAGGAGCUUUCCACUCACACAACGAGAAGGUCAUUAAGAUCCUUAAGUUUAAAAUGUAAUUUUUAAGAAUGUUUUUCUUCAUAUAUUACUAAACACAUUAUAAUUUUAAGGUGUGGCGGAUGACAAAUGCCAAUUUUGGGGUCCGCGCUUUGAAAGCCCAACAGGUAAGCUCACUAAUUGACAGGACACAUUGCAGUGCAUAAGGUAAGUACUUCAUUCUUGUUCAAAACUAUAUGUAUAUACUUAAAUAAAAUAUAAUUUUUAAAUAUUUUAAGAUGUAAUAUAUCAAUGGUGUAUCAUCUCAAACUGAAAUUAUACAUAUUUACCAUAUAUUCUACAAUAUACACCUACCACUUUAUUAUAAUAUUUUAUUCAGCACUAGCCUACAGUUGAGAGCAUGAUCCUGAAACAAGAUAGCAUGCUAAUGUUUUUAAAAUAAACUUAUCAGAAAAUGAACAAAAGAUAGCCUAGCUUUUUAAGACUUGACUGAACCAAAUUUGAUAUAGCCUACCUGAAUAAGCAGCUAUAUAUCAGGAUCUGACAGUAGGCAUCAUCAAGACAUGAAAUGAGUAUGCUUUCAAAAUUGCCAAAGUAGAAGUGGUGUGAAAAACAAAUGCCAGUACUUGGUUUCCUGCGAGUCCAGACGUGAGAUGAUCUUUGUCCUAAAACAAUAAGCCCCCAAACCAGUCGUCAACUGCCCAAAGCAACAGCAGAUCAAUCCAAACCUUCAGUAUCAAAAUACAGCGUAAAACGUAGUCUCAUUUUAAAACCUUGAAUAACAAACGCCUAAACACCUGCCCAGAACGAAUAUCGGCACUACAGCACAGAUAUGCUAUUUAAAAUGAAUCAUGUAUUCGUAAACAAUGUUAGAUUAUAUUUAAUCGAAUAACAAUGAGACACUAGGUACAUUCAGAAUAUGGAGACAGGCUUCAGCGCAGGAUUGGAGAUGUCAGCUGCUGGCGCGCGCCUGUCGCUUUUGUUCACGAGAACAGCCGCAGCUGUCUGACUAGAAUAGAGCACAUUUGUGAGCGGAAUAAGAACAAAUAACAGAAAUGAACUGGUCAUUUAUCUGAACAGUAGCCAAUAGCCAUGGUGGUAGUAAGCUUCAUAUUUUAGUUGUCUGUCGGCGGGUUGAAUGCGUAAAUAUUUACAUGUAGGCCUACACAAACCUGGACGUUGCGAAAGAUGGACGCCCUUGUUGAUGGGGGUUUGUUUGCAGACAGGCAGACCAUUGCAUGGGCUACAAGGGAAAAGCUAACCUUACAGGGCAUAUGAUUUGAGCAUUUUACAUUUUAAACCAUUCCUUCUAGCUACCUAAAGUUGAAUUGUACAUAAGGGAUUAAUGCAAGGCUAAAUGUCGCCUUUCACUACAAGUCGUAACACAUAUCAAUAAAAUCAAUCAAUAUCUGCGGUGUAACAGUAUCGCAUUCCCAUAAUGAUAUGAGGCAGUGCAGAGCAGGCUAUGUGGCUACGCUAUGUUCUGCGUGCGUAAAACACGCGCCAACGUCACAACGCUUCUACAUAGGAACAGAGCAUAUGGAUGAAAUACAGUAAUACAGUCAUGAAUUAAUGCCUUCACUUUUGUUUAAUUAAUGUUCUUUAUAAUGUUGUAAUGUUUGAAUAUCUGUAUUAUUUAUCAGGGGCGUCAUGGACUCCAAAAAUCUGAGGGGGCACAAAGUAUGUGAGGAUGGCUUGGGGGUGGUCAGGAGGUGGGCUUGGCUCCUGUUCAUUCAUAUUAUUCAUUAAACAUAUGUUGUCUUGCUACAGCCAUAAUCCUUACGCUUAAUUCUAUGUUAAACACUUUUGUUUUUCUGCAUAUCUAAGGAUACCUUUUGAGCUGUCUGUAUACUCCUGAUUAGUGGUUAUUCUUUAAAGAAACUAAAUAUGCUUCUCUGCAUCUCUGCUAAAAUGUGGGUAAAAUAUUGAAAGGAAUGUGGGUCUUAUUCAGUACAUUUAGUUAUUGCUUGCUUUUCUAAAGUCUACCAAUCUUGCCAGCAGGUAUGCCAGCGAAGAUGAUAGUUAGACAAGCUAGCUACUCUAACUUGAUUGAUUGCCUCAACCUAUCUGGGAUAGCUAAAGCCAACAUCAAAUUGCUAGGUGGCUAGUAGUUUUGAAUUGAAUUGUUUUAUUAAAUUCAGAUUGUGUGUCACUUAUCUACACAGAAUACCCCAUAAUGUCAAAGUGGAAUUGUGUUUUUAGAAAUGUUAACAAAUUAAUAUAAAAAAUAAACUUGAGUCAAUAAAAGUAUGCAAUCUUUUUGUAAUGGCAAGCCUAAAUAAGUUGAGAGGUAAAAAUGUGCUUAACAAGUCACAUAAUAAGUUGCCUGGACUCGAUCUGUAUACAAUGAUACUGUUUAACAUGACUACCCAAUCUCUGUACCUCACACAUACAAUUAUCUGUAAGGUCCCUAAGUCGAGCAGUGAAUUUCAAGCACAGAUUCAACUACAAAGACAAGGGGGGUUUUCUAUGUUUUGCAAAGAAGCGCACAUGUUGGAAAAUGUUUUUAAAGCAGACAUUGAACAUUGUGCAGUUAUUAAUUGUACACAUUAGAUGGUGUAUCAAUACACCCAGUCACUACAAAGAUACAGGCACCCUUCUUAAAUCAGUUGCCAGAGAGGAAGGACACCAUUCUUGGAUUUCACCAUGAGGCCAAUGGUGACUUUAAAACAGUAACAGAGUUUAAUGGCUGUAAUAGGAGAUAACUGAGGAUGGAUCAACAACAUCGUUACUCGGCAACAGUAACAUAAAUUACAGAGUGAAAAGAAGGAAGUCUGUUCAGAAUAACAAAUAUUCCAAAACAUGCAUCCUGUUUGCACUAAAGUAAUACUGCAAAAAAUGUGGCAAAUACAUAAACUUUUUGUCCUGAAU